rnacentral:rRNA from 1 species
UACGUAGGGUGCAAGCGUUGUCCGGAAUUAUUGGGCGUAAAGAGCUCGUAGGCGGUUUGUCGCGUCUGCUGUGAAAAUCCGGGGCUCAACCCCGGACUUGCGGUGGGUACGGGCAGACUAGAGUGUGGUAGGGGAGACUGGAAUUCCUGGUGUAGCGGUGAAAUGCGCAGAUAUCAGGAGGAACACCGAUGGCGAAGGCAGGUCUCUGGGCCACUACUGACGCUGAGAAGCGAAAGCGUGGGGAGCGAACAGG